UCCCAACAGUGAGCAGCGAGCACCACGUCAUGUGAUGUGAAGUGUGUCUGUCGACCCUAAAGCAUUGACCUCUCACCCCUGACCCCGUGAGGUCACAGAUGGUCCAUAUCUGGCCCGACCCAGGAGACUUCCUCCUCCAUCCUGAUCCUCAACAUCAGUCAGUGAGCAGUGUGUUGUGUUCCGGCUGAACGCUCCAACGGCAUCCUGACCACCACCUAACACCACCCACCGCCUUGGGCAUGCCUCAGCCGGGCAUGAAUGGGAUGGAGCCUGCGUUUGGCGAGGCGUAUGGGAUCCGUGGCUGUCUCCUCAGCCCCUACCCCCUGGCUGUCUCCCCUCUAGGGGGCAGGACCGAAUAUGACCAGAGCGUGCUCCUGAUGCUGGGCUCUCCAGCGACGCCGAGGAAACGGCCCUUCGAGUUGCUAAGCGACCUGGUGGACGACGGGGG